rnacentral:rRNA from 1 species
CAUAACGUCGCAAGACCAAAGUGGGGGACCUUCGGGCCUCAUGCCAUCAGAUGUGCCCAGAUGGGAUUAGCUAGUAGGUGGGGUAAUGGCUCACCUAGGCGACGAUCCCUAGCUGGUCUGAGAGGAUGACCAGCCACACUGGAACUGAGACACGGUCCAGACUCCUACGGGAGGCAGCAGUGGGGAAUAUUGCACAAUGGGCGCAAGCCUGAUGCAGCCAUGCCGCGUGUAUGAAGAAGGCCUUCGGGUUGUAAAGU